UACGUAGGGUGCAAACGUUGUUCGGAUUUACUGGGCGUAAAGCGCGUGUAGGCGGCUUUGCAAGUCGGAUGUGAAAGCCCACGGCUCAACCGUGGAAGUGCAUCCGAAACUGCAUGGCUGGAGUCUCGGAGAGGAAGGUGGAAUGCUUGGUGUAGAGGUGAAAUUCGUAGAUAUCAAGCAGAACACCUGCGGCGAAGGCGGCCUUCUGGACGAUGACUGACGCUGAGACGCGAAAGCGUGGGGAGCAGACAGG
rnacentral:rRNA from 1 species